GAAAAGUAACUUGAUAGUCCACAACCAUCAAAUAUAAUCGAAUAUAAAAGUGAACAUGCUGGUUAUCAAAUUAUACCACAAGUAAACAGAGAACUUGGUAAAAAAAUCAGUUUUAACAUAAUUCCUUGUUAAUUAACAUUAUUAGAGAUUUUUGUAGAGUUUAAAGUGUAGUAUACAAAAGAUUAUUACAACUACAAUGUGGAAUAAUAAACUUUCAAAGUGCAAAAUCGAACCAAACACGACACAAAGCUUCUUCAACACCACCAAUGAAGUGUUCUUGAUGUUGAGCUCAGAUUUGUGCCAUACCGGAUCAUGCACCGCCGCCCACUGGAAUGAAAAUGGAUAUACCGAGAAAGGAUCCGCCGGAAGCCACCAAGAAUUUCACCGGAGUUAUGGAAAGCUCCCACUUGGUUACUUCUCUAUGCUCUCUCUCAAAUGUUAUGCCAAGUCCAAGUAGAGAAAAUGAAG
rnacentral:lncRNA from 1 species